GAAAUAUCAAUCUUGAUAACGAGGCUUGUAUGCUAUAUUACUGGGUCUGAGAGAGAAAGAGAGAGCAAGAGAUAGCUGUAACAGAUUUUCACAGACAAGUUUUGGACUCGAUAGAAAUUCCUGGGUUUGGCUACCAAGUUUGAAUAGUUUGGAAUUUAGGCGCCAAAAAAGUAACACUCGACAGACACAAAUACAAUUUUUUCAACAAACAUUAACAACAAAUCCAGAAAAUGGUUCGAUCCUGGUUUUCUUUGGCAUUAUAUUGCGUUCUGGUUGUCAUAGUGACGUCAAGCAGACCACAACGACUAGCUGACUGGAUAAAAUCAACACUUCCGGUUGUGGAAGAUGCAAGUUAUUUGGAGGCUAAAAACGAACUCGCUAGCGACAUUUUACGAGAAGUUCUCGCUGAGAAAAACUUCGACGAGAACGAAAUUGACGAUUUGAUUGGAUUAUUUAGACAGAAAUUAGAAGGAUCACCCCGAUUACAAAAGAAAUCAGGGUGGAAAUACCCCAACAUUCCAAUUCAGACCCGAUUUGCCGCCUUUGGCCAGAAAUUAGUUCCAAGUAGAAUGAUGGGAGGUGGUGAUCACGGCCCUACCAUUCUUAGAUAUGGACGAAGUCUGAAGCACUGAAAUGUUUAAAUGUGAUCAUGUGACCAAUCCCCAUUAUUAAUAGACAUUAUCAACGCUAUCUGUAUUUGUUACUAGUUAAUCCUAUUUAUUAUUUAUGUUUUAAGAACAAUUAAAUAUAUGAAUAUUGAGAACAAUACCUCCCCCCGAACUAAUGAAAUCAAAUGCAUUAAGUGUUCUAAUACUAUUAUACGUUGAAUUUUUGUUUUGAUAUUAAAGGAGUGAUAAAUUGCACAUAAUGGUUGUGAAGAAGCAAUUUUCUGUUGGAAGGGGAAGGGAGAGACAUUUUUUUGUUUGUUUUCUUGAAGAACUAAUCGAACUGUAAAUGAAACAUACGAUGUAUAAGUAAAUACACGUUGCCCUUAACAACCUAAAUAGCUGUUUGCGCAAUCCCAAUAAACACAAUGUAUUGCUUCAUAAGGAUCAAGUCUUCUCGUAUAAAAAGGCAAUAAAUUUUUAAAUAAUA